UGGGGAAUAUUGGACAAUGGGCGCAAGCCUGAUCCAGCCAUGCCGCGUGAGUGAUGAAGGCCCUAGGGUUGCAAAGCUCUUUCACCGGUGAAGAUAAUGACGGUAACCGGAGAAGAAGCCCCGGCUAACUUCGUGCCAGCAGCCGCGGUAAUACGAAGGGGGCUAGCGUUGUUCGGAUUUACUGGGCGUAAAGCGCACGUAGGCGGACUUUUAAGUCAGGGGUGAAAUCCCGGGGCUCAACCCCGGAACUGCCUUUGAUACUGGAAGUCUUGAGUAUGGUAGAGGUGAGUGGAAUUCCGUGUGUAGAGGUGAAAUUCGUAGAUAUUCGGAGGAACACCAGUGGCGAAGGCGGCUCACUGGACCAUUACUGACGCUGAGGUGCGAAAGCGUGGGGAGCAAACAGG
rnacentral:rRNA from 1 species